UACGGAGGGGGCUAGCGUUGUUCGGAAUUACUGGGCGUAAAGCGCGCGUAGGCGGACCUGCAAGUCGGGGGUGAAAGCCCGAGGCUCAACCUCGGAACUGCCUUCGAUACUGCGGGUCUCGAGUCCGGGAGAGGUGAGUGGAAUUCCUAGUGUAGAGGUGAAAUUCGUAGAUAUUAGGAAGAACACCAGUGGCGAAGGCGGCUCACUGGCCCGGUACUGACGCCUGAGGAGCGAAAGCGUGGGGAGCAAACAGG
rnacentral:rRNA from 1 species